UACGAAGGGGGCGAGCGUUGUUCGGAAUUACUGGGCGUAAAGGGUUCGUAGGUGGCCAACUAAGUCAGACGUGAAAUCCCUCAGCUUAACUGGGGAACUGCGUCUGAGACUGGAUGGCUUGAGUGCAGGAGAGGAACGCGGAAUUCCAGGUGUAGCGGUGAAAUGCGUAGAUAUCUGGAGGAACACCGGUGGCGAAGGCGGCGUUCUGGACUGCUACUGACGCUGAGGAACGAAAGCCAGGGGAGCAAACGGG
rnacentral:rRNA from 1 species